rnacentral:rRNA from 1 species
ACGUAGGGUGCGAGCGUUAAUCGGAAUUACUGGGCGUAAAGGGUGCGCAGGCGGUUUGCUAAGACAGCCGUGAAAGCCCCGGGCUUAACCUGGGAGGUGCGCUUGUGACUGGCAGACUAGAGUGCGGCAGAGGGGGGUGGAAUUCCACGUGUAGCAGUGAAAUGCGUAGAGAUGUGGAGGAACACCGAUGGCGAAGGCAGCCCCCUGGGCUAGCACUGACGCUCAGGCACGAAAGCGUGGGGAGCAAACAGGAUUAGAUACCCUGGUAGUCCACGCCCUAAACGAUGUCAACUGGUUGUCGGGGGGGUUACUCCUUGGUAACGAAGCUAACGCGUGAAGUUGACCGCCUGGGGAGUACGGCCGCAAGGUUG